rnacentral:sRNA from 1 species
UGAUAGUCGCCGUCCGUAGAUUCGUUA